UCUGCGCGUAACCCCUUACUACCUCCCUCUAUAGAAAUGGAAAGCAUGCCAAAAUCAUCCACCUAAAACCUCUACCUCUCUUCCCCAACAGCAAAACUCCUAAUCGUCUACAAAUUCCACUUUUGAACACCGCAAAUCGAAUAAUCAAAAUCUGCAAAAUAUUGUAUCUAUAACUUCUUCGAUUUCCAGAUAUCACAGACGAAGCCUUCGGAGCAAAGAUGGUAUACUAUAAGCUCUGUCGAACUCUCUCCCUUCUUUUCCCUGUCUAAAACCACAAUUUUGAGCUUCAGCUAAUCUUCCGGAGGGACGCGGAGAUCUCAAAAGGUGUUAGGGGUCCGAAAUUUCUGCUCAAGGAAGUAGAAUGGGACUUUGCCAAGGAUAGAGAAAUACAUUCAAACACAAAUCAUAG